GUAAGUAGAUAUUUGCAGUGUUAGGGCUAGAACUCAGAGCCAGGCAAGUGUUCUACCUCUGAGCUACACCCCCAGACUCUCUUCAAAAGAAAGAAAGCUGCAACCUUCUUUUUCCAUCUCAUGGUUUAAGAGUACAAUUUGCCUAGGGUUGAACAACCAGUAAGUGACAAAGUUGUGUUGAAAUUCCAGGUUUGGGGGCUGGGGUUGUGGCUCAGCCCGUAGAGCGCUUGCCUUGCAUGCUCGUGGCCCUGGGUUUGAGCCUCAGCACUACAUAAAAAUAAAUAAGUGAAAUAAAGGUAUUUUGUCCAACUAUAACUAAAAAAAUAAAUAAAUACAUAAAUUCCAAGUUUUCAGGGGACCGAUCCAAGACCUUUGGGAGACACAGAUUUGCUAGGCCUUUCACUCCCACUUAAUUUGUCAAUAAGCCUAAUUUGCUUCUAGGCCUUGACUUCCUCCCAGCCACGUCCUCUGACACACUCGCAUACCUGGUGGAGCUUGAGAUUAAGCUCGAAGCCUCAACCCAGGUCCCAUGGCCUGCUCACAACCGCUUGGCUCAGGACCUGGUUCAGGCACCCGAAUUGGCCCAUCCCGGGACUCUGAACUGCUCAGUCAUGUCAGUUCCUGCAUAAACAGACAGAUUUCAUGGAACAGUACCUCACCUCUUGGCUCCUGGGCACUGGAAGGCUGGCAACCUCCACUGUUUCCCGGCCUUGU
rnacentral:lncRNA from 1 species